CUCUCUUCUUUUCGCUCUGUUCAGCUCUCAAUCAUUUUAACAUAAAUCCUAGAUGAAACACCCUGAAAUUGAAAUCCAACAAAGAAGAAGAAGAUAAAAAUCUUCCCAAGCUGAAUUACCACCUUAUUUUAUCCUCAGUUGUGCCUGUUAUCGUCUUUUUUGAGAUUUUUCAUUUUUCAUCUAUGGCAAAUGAUGCCGCACUUGUUAACUAAAUUUGGUGAAACAUUUGUCUACUACGUGGAUCAAGAGAAGUGGACGACUAUUGAAAUUUCAAGCGAGAUGAAAAGCUAUGACGAGCAAGCAUUAUGCACUGUAAUCUCUUGCGAUGGCAAGGUCGGAGUUCUUUAUAAUGCAAGAGAGUGGACGGAAAUUUGGAUAUUAGAGAGUUAUUCUGCUGCCACUUAACCGAUUUUGAAGAGGAAGUUUCGCAUAGACACUAGAUGGAUUUUUCAGAAUAGUUAUCAUCCUCGUCCUAUAGGAAUGUGGUCGAAUGAUACAGUUAUGAUGGUGUGUGACACUACGGCUCUGUGGUUCAAUUGCAAUGAUGACAAGUAAUUGCACCAGCACUUGGGGUCUAUGCUCUCUGUAAGAAACAUUAUGAAACAUGGCUGUUGUUGGCAAGUCGGUAAUGGGGAAAGUACCUCUACAUGGUGUGAUUCCUGGAUCCGUACUGUACAGGGGUUCAAGCCUAUAUCCACGGAGGAAAAUUCUACUUCAGAACUCAAAUUAGUGGGCGUACAUCUUAAUUAUCCUAGGAGAUGGAACGUAGAUAAGCUCAACAGUCUUUUCUCUUCCUGGAAGUGACUCACAUCAGAAUGAUCCCUUUCGCUGAAGACUUACAGGAGGACAAACUGAUCUGGAUGCUAACGAACAAAGGAGAUUUUACUACAAAGUCGUUUCAGAUGCUUCCUUCUUGCUUUAGAGGUAACUCUUCUAAUCCAGCUCACUCUGAUUUCAAUUGGAAAUAGUUUUGGAACCUUAAAACUAUGCCGCCUAAGGUUAAAACUUUCAUAUGGAGAAUCAUUCAUUUGCGGAGUAGGAGUCUUAGCUAAUCCUGGUCGUUUUAUUAGCAAUUAUGAUAUGAAAUGUAAACUCUGCGGGAACCAGGAUGAAACUGUAGACCACUUAUUCCUCAACUGCACAUCCACUCUGUCCUUGUUAUUUGCGUCUCAUUUAUCCAUUAUAGUGGAUGACCAGCCUGACAUGACCAUAAACAACCUCCUAAACAGAUUACUCAUUGUUGACGAUGGCGGCUGUGCUUUUGCGUAUUUUGCUUGUCUUAUUUGGUCGAGGAACAGGUAUAUAUUCUCAAGGGUAAGUCAGCCGUUCACCAGGAUUGUUUUGAAAGAGGCCAAUUUCCUCUUUACAACUUACUUGGAAGCUACAGAUCCAAGCAGUUUCGCGAGUCCCAACCCUAGAACUGGUGAAGCAGUCUCCUUCAGCAAGAUGUUCCCCUUCUCUCGAAGCUGAAAAUAAAGUGAAUGUUGAUGCUAGCAUGAAAGAGGCAGAAAGCUGCUGUGGGCAUAUUAUGGCUAGUAAUGAUACUGGUAGUUCCUGUGGAUGUCAGUCCUAUUAUUUGCAGGAGUAAAAUCAAUCCUGCUAUCCUUAAGAAAACAAUGGGAGGAUGGGCGACUCACCCAUCUGGAGUAAAAUCAAGUGUGUCAUGGCUGGCAUGUCAAGAUUUCAGUUUGAAAAUGGGAGGUUGUUCUUGAGAUGAAUGAUAAAACGAGAUGCCUUGUGACGACAUUAGACGCCUUGUGGCUUCUGAAAUGACUUGCAGUAUCUCCAGCCACUCAAAGGCCAGAUGAAUAUCUAACUACUAGAUGAAAAAUAACCUUAAAGGCCAUUCCCAGGGGAGAUGCUACACCAACCGAGCUUUCUCCCGAGAAAGCUCCCAACAGGGAAGCGGGAUCCUUCUCUAUUUCAGUGGGGAGAAAAUCUACCGGUUAAUCUAUCAUUUCCGCAAUCCCACUAAAUUCAUUAUUUAAAAAGGAAGUCUCAGUUUUUGUCAACUGUGAAAAUUAGACCACUGACAAAUGAAACUUCAUAGCUGUCUGGCUUCUUUGCAAAAGAAUUUUAUUACAAAUAGCACACAAAUAAAAAGAAAAAAAAAUGAAA